UACGGAGGGUGCAAACGUUGCUCGGAAUCAUUGGGCGUAAAGCGCACGUAGGCGGCUUGCACAGUCAGGCGUGAAAUUCCUGGGCUCAACCUGGGGACUGCGCUUGAGACGUGUGGGCUUGAGUGGGGAAGAGGGUCGUGGAAUUCCCAGUGUAGAGGUGAAAUUCGUAGAUAUUGGGAAGAACACCGGUGGCGAAGGCGGCGACCUGGUCCUUGACUGACGCUGAGGCGCGAAAGCGUGGGGAGCAAACAGG
rnacentral:rRNA from 1 species